rnacentral:rRNA from 1 species
GACGAACGCUGGCGGCGUGCUUAACACAUGCAAGUCGAACGGAAAGGCCCUGCUUGCAGGGUACUCGAGUGGCGAACGGGUGAGUAACACGUGGGUGAUCUGCCCUGCACUUCGGGAUAAGCCUGGGAAACUGGGUCUAAUACCGGAUAGGAGCCAUUUUUAGUGUGAUGGUUGGAAAGUUUUUUCGGUGUAGGAUGAGCUCGCGGCCUAUCAGCUUGUUGGUGGGGUAAUGGCCUACCAAGGCGGCGACGGGUAGCCGGCCUGAGAGGGUGGACGGCCACAUUGGGACUGAGAUACGGCCCAGACUCCUACGGGAGGCAGCGGUGGGGAAUAUUGCACAAUGGGCGCAAGCCUGAUGCAGCGACGCCGCGUGGGUGAUGACGGCCUUCGGGUUGUAAACUCCUUUCGCUAGGGACGAAGCUUUUUGUGACGGUACCUAGAUAAGAAGCACCGGCUAACUACGUG